ACUCCUACGGGAGGCAGCAGUGGGAAUCUUGCGCAAUGGGCGGAAGCCUGACGCAGCAACGCCGCGUGUGGGAAGACGGCCUUCGGGUUGUAAACCACUUUCAGGGGGGACGAAGCCACUCAGGUUAAUAGCCGAGAGGGUGACGGUACCCCCAGAAGAAGCCCGGCUAACUACGUGCCAGCAGCCGCGGUAAUACGUAGGGGGCGAGCGUUGUCCGGAAUCAUUGGGCGUAAAGCGCGUGUAGGCGGCUUGGUCAGUUUGGUGUGAAAUCCCGGGGCUCAACCCCGGAACUGCACUGAAUACUGCCUCGCUAGAGUCCGGGAGAGGAGUUGGGAAUUCCCAGUGUAGCGGUGAAAUGCGCAGAUAUUGGGAAGAACACCAAUGGCGAAGGCACAACUCUGGAACGGUACUGACGCUGAGACGCGAAAGCGUGGGGAGCAAACAGGAUUAGAUACCCU
rnacentral:rRNA from 1 species